rnacentral:lncRNA from 10 species
GAUCCCUGCACCAUGUGGUAAGCUGGUUUCUUCCUCCGUGGUCUUUGGCCCUGGCUUGUUUUGUGUGAUAAAAAGGAAGAGUCAUCGGAGAGCUUCAUAUACAGCGAACACAACCUCAGAGAUACUUUGGAGCUUUCUGGGUGGGGGAGAAAGACGUGGCAAAAGCAGCUGAAGGAUUCAGGGUUAACACUUUGCCUUUUGAAGAGACUUCAGUUCUUGGAGGGCUUCCAGUCUGAAUUUGGGGAAUUCAUCAACAGGAAAACAAAUAGCUGGCAGGCUCUGUAUUUACUCUGCCCUUCUCAAGGUUGCAACAUAAAUCUCCCAACUUGGAAAGCAUUAAGGCCGAGGAGACAUUUUGUGAGUUCAGGGACUCUCCUCCAGUCUGCAUGAACCACGUCUACCCUCAUUUCGGGAAAACACAGGCACCAGCCCUCAAGGUGCUGCGGGAGACAGUACUGACACUGUUUGACUCGCUUGGGGCAGACUGGGGAAAUGAGAGCUGGAAAACUUGAGUUCUCAAGUGAGAGCUGUUGGUCUGCUUUGGAAAAAACCCACUUACGCCAGGAGAAUGAAAGCCCUGAGAAGUUCUCACUGGGUGAUGUCGUGCAUCAGGAUUAGCGCCUCAAUUUAUCGCCGGCUCAAGCUCCACACAUGCUCCAUGACAGGGUGUUGUCCGCAUCCCCGAAAGUUCCAGGAAGGAGACAGUGUUUGCUGAGUGGUGGGCUUUAGAUAUUCAGCAGUGUGGUUGGCUUUUAUGGGCUGAGAAUGUGUGUGAGUGUGAGCGCAUGCGUGCUCGUGCAUGCUGGUGUUGGGCCUGGGGCACUGUGUUGUUUGAAAGGCGCAGGGAACAGACACUUUGUACUCAGAUGCAUCAAUUUCCAACGGCAGCAGAAUGCUGUUUCUGGUUGAAAGAGAAAGAAGAAAGCGAAAUCUUCAUUUCAGCUUAGGAAUGGGGUCCACAUGUUUAGCUCAAAGUGAGUGGAAAUCUCUGAAAAGCAGGUUUGGGCUAAUGAAUGUCAGCAGGCCUUCAAUGUAAAUGGGAUUUGAUUAGCAGGAAGGAGUGUGGUUGGGAUGUUUCCAUUACCAAAGAAUGAUAUAGAGGGGCAAGGCUUGUCUUAAGGGGAUGAAGAAGGUCCCUCCAACUGCCCAAGUAGAUCCUUUUCCAGUAGGCUUUCAGACGCUCAGAAAACAUGGGGCUGACCUUGGCUUCUACCACAUGCCAUGGGGCACGAGACCAUUGUUCCAGACAAGUAAACCUGAGGUGGGGGGAGGUGGCAGAGCUGCGACUGGACACCACGAAUGAAAUAUUCUACAAUACAAAACAUGCCACAUCAGUCCUCAACAUUGCCUUGCCUCUAUGCCCCUCAUUUUAAAGAUGACAAAACUGAGGACCACAGAGGUCAAUAUCCCAGAGUCUGGAACUCUUCAUCCUUGGAGAAUCCAGGUCUUCUGCUUCUGGAAUCCUUCUUCUUUGGGCAUUCUUUUAACUGGUAGCAACUCAUGUCUUGCCAGUCUUGUCUCUGGCUCCCCUACUCUGUUUUUCUUCAAGAUUAAGGGUUUAAAUGAUAUCUAAAGUAGGACCUACCUAGAAAAAAGACCUACAUAAAAUUCCUUUUAGAUUGAUAUGGGGAAGCAAACAAAGGAACUUACAAAUAUACUCUCUUAGGCUAUUAUUUUAAAUAAGCAACGGUUGCUCAGGAGCACUAAUGGGAAACCGUAAAAAAACCUUUUUAUUUUGAAAUAAAUUCAAAUCCACAUAGAAAUUUCAAAAAUAGUGCCAAGAGUUCCUGUAAAUUUUUCUUCAGCUUCCCUCACUUUACCGUGUUUGCUUUAUCCUUCUCUCUCUCUCUCUCUCUGUGUGUGUGUGUGUGUGUGUGUGUGUGUGUGUGUGUGUUUUAUUUCUUUUCUGAAUGGCUUGGGAGUACACUGUACACAUUCUACCACUUUAUCCCUAAAUACAUCAGUACACAUUUCCUAAAUUCAUUUACACAACCACAGUACAGUUAUGAAAUCCAAGAAAUUAACAUUGCUAUAGUAUUAUUCUCUAAUUUAUAGACCUUGUUUGAACUUCAGUAAAUGUCCUACUAAUGUCCUUUCUAGCAAAAAAAAAAAAUUGUUUUCCACUUACUUUGGGAUUGUGUGAAACUCGUGUCUCAUUUAUGGGGACUUACGUGAGAGGGUUGAGUGUGCUGAAGUUUUAGGCUGUUAAACUAAAAAGUAAACAUUACCUUAAAAAUACGUGUAUGUUAUAUCUAUAGUAUCUUCACCUUGAUAAUUCUUCUUUGAUAAUUAUGAUUAAAUGUCAUAAUGGGAAAAUUCAAAACCUUUAUAUCUGUGAACCAAAAAAUAAAACCAGAUUCUGCAUUCCUCGUGCAUUUCAAUUUGGUGUAAGUCUCUUCAAUAUCUGCUUGCUUGCUAGCUGUGCCUUUCUACUUGCCUGCUCACAAGAUUUCUGAAAGUCUUGGUGAUGGUUUUGGCUCUGAAUCCAGACUGAGUAAAACAAAAGUCCAAAGCGUGUUUUGGCAAAGUGUGGUUAGCAAGGGUGAUUGGUCUACAAGUGCGUUUCAGUGAUG